rnacentral:rRNA from 1 species
UGAGGAAUAUUGGGCAAUGCCCGCAAGGGUGACCCAGCAACGCCGCGUGGAGGAUGAAUGUCGUAAGAUUGUAAACUCCUGUUAGAGGGGAAGAAUAGUACCGGUUGGACCGGUAUAUGACUGUACCCUCCGAGAAAGCCCCGGCUAACUACGUGCCAGCAGCCGCGGUAAUACGUAUGGGGCAAGCGUUGUCCGGAUUUACUGGGUGUAAAGGGCGCGCAGGCGGGAUAAAAAGUCAGUGGUGAAAUCCUACAGCUUAACUGUAGAACUGCCUUUGAUACUUUUAUUCUUGAGUUCGGGAGAGAGAGACGGAAUUCCAGGUGUAGUGGUGAAAUACGUAGAUAUCUGGAAGAACACCAGGUGCGAAGGCGGUCUCUUGGUCCGACACUGACGCUGAGGCGCGAAAGCGUGGGGAGCAAACA